rnacentral:rRNA from 1 species
GACGAACGCUGGCGGCGCGCUUAACACAUGCAAGUCGAGCGAGAACCAGGCCUUCGGGCCUGGGGACAGCGGCGAACGGGUGAGUAACACGUGGGUAAUCUGCCCUCGAUACUGGGAUAGCCCCGGGGGAAACCCGGAUUAAUACCGGAUGGCCCCUUUCGAGUCUUUCGGACUUGAAAGGAAAAGGUAGCUUCGGCCUCCGAUCGAGGAUGAGCCCGCGGCGGAUUAGCUUGUUGGUGAGGUAACGGCUCACCAAGGCGACGAUCCGUAGCUGGUCUGAGAGGACGAUCAGCCACACUGGGACUGAGACACGGCCCAGACUCCUACGGGAGGCAGCAGUGGGGAAUCUUGCCCAAUGGGCGAAAGCCUGAGGCAGCGACGCCGCGUGCGGGAAGAAGG